rnacentral:rRNA from 1 species
CCUACGGGAGGCAGCAGUAGGGAAUCUUCCACAAUGGGCGAAAGCCUGAUGGAGCAACGCCGCGUGGGUGAAGAAGGUCUUCGGAUCGUAAAACUCUGUUGUUAGAGAAGAAAGUGCGUGAGAGUAACUGUUCACGUUUCGACGGUAUCUAACCAGAAAGCCACGGCUAACUACGUGCCAGCAGCCGCGGUAAUACGUAGGUGGCAAGCGUUAUCCGGAUUUAUUGGGCGUAAAGGGAACGCAGGCGGUCUUUUAAGUCUGAUGUGAAAGCCUUCGGCUUAACCGGAGUAGUGCAUUGGAAACUGGGAGACUUGAGUGCAGAAGAGGAGAGUGGAACUCCAUGUGUAGCGGUGAAAUGCGUAGAUAUAUGGAAGAACACCAGUGGCGAAAGCGGCUCUCUGGUCUGUAACUGACGCUGAGGUUCGAAAGCGUGGGUAGCAAACAGGAUUAGAUACCCUAGUAGUC